rnacentral:rRNA from 1 species
UACGUAGGGUGCAGGCGUUAAUCGGAAUUACUGGGCGUAAAGCGUGCGCAGGCGGCUUCUUAAGUCAGAUGUGAAAUCCCCGGGCUCAACCUGGGAACUGCGUUUGAAACUGGGAGGCUGGAGUGCGGCAGAGGGGGGUGGAAUUCCACGUGUAGCAGUGAAAUGCGUAGAUAUGUGGAGGAACACCGGUGGCGAAGGCGGCCAACUGGACGAAUACUGACGCUGAGACACGAAAGCGUGGGGAGCAAACAGG